GGAAUCAAGAUGAAGAAAAAAAUAAGGAAAAUCUUACUUUAUGGUCUCAUCAAGAUUUUACAUAUAGUUUCUAAGAAGUUGAAAAAUUCACAUGCAACUCAUCAAAGAAACAAUUUAAAGAUAAAAUACCAAGAAACUCCAGCUAAAGAUAAAAUACCAAGAAACUCCAGCUAGUAUUAACAAUGGACUACAAUAAUCACUUCUUUGGACCCUACUGAGGUGUGUGUAUUUGCCCAUCUGGAUAUACUUAGAUGUGCUUGGAUCCUGGGUGGGAGGCUUGGUUAGAAGUCACGUGGAUUCUUCUAGGGAAUUUAUCACCAUUUUUCUUGUGAUCUUAUGACCUUGCUGAAACUUUUAAAACAAUAAUAAAGUCAUUUUUUUUCUCUUUGAGAUGGAAUCUCACUCUGUCGCCCGUGUCAGAGUGUGGUGGCGCAGUCUCGGCUCACUGCAACUUCCGCCUCCCGGGUUCAAGCGAUUCUCCCGCCUCAGCCUCCUGAGCAUCUGGGACUACAGGCGUGUACCACCACCCCUGGCUAACUUUUGUCUUUUUUCGUAGAGAUGAGAUUUCACCAUGUUGGCCAGGCUGGUCUGGAACUCCUGAUCUCAGGUGAUCUGCCCGCCUCAGCCUCCCAAAGUGCUGAGAUUACAGGUGUGAGCCACCAUGCCUGGCCGCUUUUGUUCAUUUUUUGAGCGUUGUACAUUUUUACAUUAAAGGCGUGUAAAUUAAGUUGCUCGCUUUGCCAAAAAAUUGUCUAGUGUCUUUUUCCACUUCUGUGUUGAAUUUUUUAGUAUAACGCAUUUUUGUUUCUUCAUCUCUGCCUCAUAAGAAAAAGGAAAAAGUGUUUAGCCUUUCCUAAGUGACUUCUUUUUUUUAUCUGUUUUAAUGUUUUUGCAUCUUGUUAUAACUGGGCUUUUUAACUAUACUCAAAAAUAGGUUAAAAGUAGGUGAGUUAAAGGUUUUAAAAAUCAGAUAAUGGACCCUGGUUUUGAUAAUUCACAAGAGAUAACCAUUUAUUUUCAUAUUUUUUAUGUAAAUACAUGUUUCUGUACAAAAUUAAAAUUGCUCUGUAUUUGCAGAUUUGCAUUAUCUUUUAUUGUAAUUGACAUUUUACUUAGAAUUUGUUUUAAAAGAUAGCUUUAAUACCUGCGUAGCAUGUUCAUGGGUAUGCCAUACCUUUGAAAGUGGACAUGUAGGCUAUUCCAUACUUUUUAUUAAAACACCCUUGUACUUUUUUGCCUCUCAAAUUAUUUUCUUAGACUAGAUUCCUAGAAUUAGAAUUAUUGGGUCAAAGAAAAUGUUAAAGCCUGUUUACUUUAUUUGCAAAUUUCUUCAUCUAAAGGUGAUAUUAACUUAAACUAACAUUAAUUAUAUAUGAGGCUGGGUGUCCUACUUUUUCCCCUGCCAGCAUACUAUUUUUUAAUUUCACAAGAUUAAUUUGAUAGGCAAAUGCCUAUUUUAAUUUCUGUUAAGAUUUAGUUUACAAUCUUUAAAUGUUUAUUUGAUAGUCACAAUUUGCUAAAUUGCUUGCCUGCAUUCUUUCUGUUAGGAUGUACGGUAAUUCUUAUAAAAUGCAUAGUAAGGAUAUUAAUAUGCAUAUUUUGGAUGAGCCAAGCCUUCAGCUUUAUUCACUUAUGUUAGGUCAGUUUUUGGAAAAGUAUUUUUCAAUAAUCUCUCUUUUUAAAUAAUUGAUCUCAAUCCCAAAGUAUUCAUUUGUAGGACA
rnacentral:lncRNA from 10 species